GGCUGGUGUUCUAACGUAGACCCGUGAACCGGGUUGCGGACAGUGUCUGGUGGGUAGUUUGACUGGGGCGGUCUCCUCCUAAAGCGUAACGGAGGAGCACGAAGGUUGGCUAAUCCUGGUCGGACAUCAGGAGGUUAGUGCAAUGGCAUAAGCCAGCUUGACUGCGAGCGUGACGGCGCGAGCAGGUGCGAAAGCAGGUCAUAGUGAUCCGGUGGUUCUGAAUGGAAGGGCCAUCGCUCAACGGAUAAAAGGUACUCCGGGGAUAACAGGCUGAUACCGCCCAAGAGUUCAUAUCGACGGCGGUGUUUGGCACCUCGAUGUCGGCUCAUCACAUCCUGGGGCUGAAGUAGGUCCCAAGGGUAUGGCUGUUCGCCAUUUAAAGUGGUACGCGAGCUGGGUUUAGAACGUCGUGAGACAGUUCGGUCCCUAUCUGCCGUGGGCGCUGGAGAACUGAGGGGGGCUGCUCCUAGUACGAGAGGACCGGAGUGGACGCAUCACUGGUGUUCGGGUUGUCAUGCCAAUGGCACUGCCCGGUAGCUAAAUGCGGAAGAGAUAAGUGCUGAAAGC
rnacentral:rRNA from 1 species